UGAUCCUGCCAGUAGUGAUAUGCUUGUUUCAAAGAUUAAGCCAUGCAAGUCUAAGUAUAAACAGCUAUACGGUGAAACUGCAGAUGGCUCAUUAAAACAGUUUGAAUUUAUUUGAUGGAUAACCAACUACAUGGAUACCCGUAGUAAUUCUAGAGCUAAUACAUGCAUGAAAGCCUUUGGGCUGUAUUUAUUGGAUACAAGAACCAAACCUUUCGGGGUUUUGUUUGUUGAUUCACAAUAACUUUUCGAAUCCUCACACCUGGGGAUAUGUCAUUCAACAUUCUGCCCUAUCAGCUUUCGAUGGUUAUGUAGUGGAUAACCAUGGCGUUAACGGGUAACGGAGAAUCAGGGUUCGAUUCCGGAGAGGGAGCCUGAGAAACGGCUACCACAUCUAAGGAAGGCAGCAGGCGCGCAAAUUACCCAAUCCUGACUCAGGGAGGUAGUGACAAAAAUAACAAUACCGGAUCUUUUUGGGUCUGGUAAUUGGAAUGAGAACAAGUUAAACUUUUAUCGAGGACCCAUUGGAGGGCAAGUC
rnacentral:rRNA from 1 species